GCUAUCCUUUUGUUCUGUUCUUCUACGUAGAGAUAUUAUCAUGAAUUAUUUGCUACAAGCUCUUUAGAGCAGUACUUCCCAUCAGUUGCUCAGAGUGAUGUGAUUGCUAAUAUUUAAAUCAAGCUCUUUUGGACUUUGUUUCAUUGACCGUUGUAGGCUUCCCUUGUUUCCAUAAAUUAUGGUCAAUCCAGCAAUCUCCUUAGGUAUGAAACCAUGGAAGUGGUACAUUAAAACAGAACUGUUGUCAAGCCAGGCCGGUCCAUUCAUCUAGUAGGGCAGCAUGUGUUUGAGGCUAAUGGUAAGAAAUUAGAUGAAACAAUGGUUAUAUUCAAUGCACUCUUGUGAAAUACCUGACGAUGGACCUUGAUUUUUUAGCCAGUCAUUGUUCACAGUGAUUAACAGCUGAUGACCCAGCUAUCCCCCACUAUAUAUGAACCCCACCUACUUAGUAGCCUUGAUAUUUGUUUCUAUGUUCUUGAUUUUGUCAGUGAUUUUGCUGAUGAUGGCAGGUGGUCAGGUGUUUACUGAUAGAGUCAUUCCUAGAAUCGGCCCUGAAUGAACAGGCAGGCAAGAUGUUACUUGAGAAUUACGAGUGUGCAAGGCAUGCCAGGUGAGGCCCCACCAAGACCGAGGAGCAAGAUGGAUUCACUCAUUUUUAUACCAGACCUUGUUAAAACCACAAAGGCUGAAGAGUCUAUUGCCGUUGUUGGGACAACCAUUGCCAGUAUCUCAGUCAGAAGAAUAGAAAUUUAUUGAACAAGAAACAGGCAAGGAAAUUGAGAUUGAGCCUAAAAAUGCAAGCGUUCAGAGGCGAGUUGACCUUUAUAAGGAACCUAUCAUGCUGCAGUUGUUGAGAACCGUGCAGAUUUCCAUGGUCGUGUGGUGGUUGAUGUUGGUGCUGGUAGUGGUAUUCUUUCAUUAUUUGUUGUGUAAAGAUGUUGUGGGUGGAAGGCUAGGAAAAGAAAACAUUUGUAGUUUGUUUUAGUAAAUUAAUUGUUUUGUUGA